GGCCGGGCCCGGUGCGUGGGUGGCCUCGCGAAUCGGGUCAGGGCCUGACCGCAGCAGCCCUAAGCGGCGGUUGCCCGGCGCCGCCGGUGUCCUGGCCACC
rnacentral:SRP_RNA from 1 species